ensembl:lncRNA
AACAGAUCUUGCUUUUGCUGUAUGGCUGCGACCCAGGUGUUGUGGAGGAGGGUAUAUCUGCAGACCGCAAGUGGGGGGCAUAACUUAAUAUGAAGUUGCCAAAUGCGUUGUUGACCUGGGGGAUGCUGUUGCCUGGGUAAAUGCCAACACGGGCCUCUUCUGAGACCGAGUACAAGUCCUCACCCCUGAAUGAUUUGGAAAUACAGGGUGCUGUGCAGAUGAUCAGAGAGGCCUCAACUCUAGAGGAAGAACAAGAAGCUCUCUCCCCAUUCAUGUUUUUGUUUAAUAAUUUUCAAGACACUGAAAAUUCAUGGAUGAAAUAGACAAAAGAGGACUUAGUGAGAAUUUUGAGCUCCUCCAUUAAUUAUUUUUGUUGAUGAAAAUACCUAUCAUCUGUCUUCAAACCAUCAGCUAAUGCUGGUUUGCACACAACACAAGAUCCAGAAAACACAAUAUAGUUUGACAAGACAAAGAGACAAGAAACAUCAGCUGUUUAGCAAUAGUAAACUGGACAGUGUUCUGGAAGUGUUCACCUGGCCAUACAACAUGAUAGGAUGAAACCAAAGCCUACAGAAUCUGGGCAAAGCUGAAUAUACAGUACAUAAAAUGUAAUGUUUUGAAUAUUUGAUUAGGUGAUUAAAUGUUUAAUUGUCUGACUGGCAUAUCAUUUUUAGUUUAUGCAUAUCAUUUUUAGUUUAUGCCAUUAACUUUAAGAUUUUGGGCUACAUUAAUUGACUUUCAAUAAUGUCUGUUGUGCUCAUUUGGACCUGUUCUACUUGUAAUUUAUGCUAUUAAAUCAACUUUUAUGAUAAGUGUUAAUUUAGACCUCAGGUUAUGUAACACUUAUAUUCCUCCCAACAAUGUUAAGUCCAUAACCACGUCAUUACUCUAGAAUAAAACAUGUGCUUGUUCCAGGCACCCUGGAACAUUUUUUAUUUCUGCAACAGGCUAUAGAAAAUUCAACACUUCCAGUUACCAGUUUCAACUUUCUAGAACAAUGCUGUUAAAUUGAACAGUGCAAGUCAAA